GUUAAUAUAGGAGUAUGGGGAGUUAGUUGAUUGGUUAAAAGGGUACACUGUUCUUACAUGUUUCGGUAGGUUUCAAGUCCGUUGGUGGCUCAGAAUCUCGGUGGUGUAGGGGUAUCUGGGUAUUCCCCUACCUGGUGAAAAUGUGGAAUGGUGGGAGAAAUGCAGAGUGGGUGGGAAGGGAGAGCUAGCUUUCCCCUGCAGGCACUCUGACUGCAAGAGAAAGAUUAUCAUGGCUGUCGUCAUAGGUGUGUGCAUGGGGUCUGCCGGGUGUGCCUGGGCACACCCUAAUCCCCACGGCACGCCUAUGGAUUGAGACCAGCAGGGGAGAUCUCCCCUGUCGGCUCAUGCAGAGCCCGCGCUAUCCAAGCCUCCAUGGGCCUGCUCUAAGCCUCCAUGGGCCGGUGGGGAGAUCAAUGAUCUACCUCACCGGCCAACAGCAGCAUGGAGGGAGGCGGGAGAGGAGGCGGGAGAGGACCCGGGGAGCUCUAGCCAGCACCUCCGCCGGGUUCCUCUCACGAGAUCUGAGCGUCAACGCAACGGCAAUGCUCAGAUCUCGCGAGAGUGACUCUAGCCCCGCAGAGUUCACUCUCCUCUGGACCACCAGGGAUGGCACAUGGCAGCAAGGAUCCCCCUCCCUACAUGAGGUAAGAAGGGAGGGAGGAUAUUUACUAAUCUGCCCCCACCUCCACCCCCACAAUACCUCCAAACAUACAGUACACACACAGCACACACACAUAUACAGCACCCUCACACACACAGCACACUCACACAUACAGCACCCUCAUACACAGCACCCUCACACACACAGUACAAUACCAGCACCCUCACAAACACACACACACAGCACCCUUACAAACACACAGCAACCUCACACACAGCACAAUAACAGCACCCUCACAAAUACACACAGCACCGUCACACACAGCACACAAACAGCACCCUCACACCCAAACAGCACCCUCACAAACACUAGACACCCACAUACAGCACCCUCACACACACAGCACCCUCACACAAACAGUACACUAACAGCACCCUCACACGGCACCCUUACAAACACACAGCACCCUCACAAACACACACACACAGCACACAAACAGCACACUCACAAACAUCACACUCACACACA